AUAGCAUCAGGUCUCACCAGUUGUAAGAAACAUUUCUCAAUGUUUUUUUUUUUCCCCACAGGAAGAUUUGGAACUACCAGAAGCUCCCAAGGAGCCCCUCCCAGAAACCUCUCCAGAGAAAGAAGCCGUCAAGACCAAACCCAAAGCACGACUGGUGUCCGCCUCCUAACCUCGUCUGGGCUAUCAGGAGUCUCUGUUCUGUUUCCUUCCUUCUCCUCCCGGAGGCAGCGCUGAGCCUUGUAGUGCUCUGGGGAGGGGAUCGGGUGUGGUUGGCUGCAUCGCCCUCUGGUGGGUGGGGGGGGGGGGGUGACGUCUCCUUCCCAGAAGCUGCAGCAGGAUGCCCGGAGAAGUCGCUCAUUGACUCCAUAUUGAAUUGCGUUUUCCGUUUUGCCAUCGCCCGUUUUUGUUUCUGAUGGGCGGACCCCCUCCCUCGGCGGUCUCUCUCCCCCAUUAUUUAGCUGUCCUUUCCUUGUAUCAUGAAUUUAUCUUCUAGUGCGGGUCCUAUCAGUGGAGCGAUUACGGGCGCCAACGCUUCGAGCCCCGCCCACUGCAGUGUAUUAUCCCGUCUUCUUCAUCAUGUUGCUGAUAAGCAGCUGCCAGAGCCGAUUCUCCUUCCGGACGGAUUUUCUUGUAGGGAUCGGCUGUUCUGCAUGAUGGCGCCAUUUUGUCUUUUAAUAUAUAUGAAAUUUCAUAUGAUGGAGAUUUGGAAUAAAAGCACUAAAAGUGCAGGAUCCUGA